UACAGAGGGUGCAAGCGUUGUUCGGAUUUACUGGGCGUAAAGCGCGUGUAGGCGGUGGCGUAAGUCGGAUGUGAAAUCCCUCGGCUCAACCGAGGACGUGCAUCCGAUACUGCGUCACUUGAGUGUCGGAGGGGAUGGCGGAAUUCCCGGUGUAGAGGUGAAAUUCGUAGAUAUCGGGAGGAACACCUGUGGCGAAGGCGGCCAUCUGGACGAUAACUGACGCUGAGACGCGAAAGCGUGGGUAGCAAACGAGG
rnacentral:rRNA from 1 species